GACGAACGCUGGCGGCGUGCUUAACACAUGCAAGUCGAACGGAAAGGCCCUGCUUUUGUGGGGUGCUCGAGUGGCGAACGGGUGAGUAACACGUGAGUAACCUGCCCUUGACUUUGGGAUAACUUCAGGAAACUGGGGCUAAUACCGGAUAGGAGCUCCUGCUGCAUGGUGGGGGUUGGAAAGUUUCGGCGGUUGGGGAUGGACUCGCGGCUUAUCAGCUUGUUGGUGGGGUAGUGGCUUACCAAGGCUUUGACGGGUAGCCGGCCUGAGAGGGUGACCGGCCACAUUGGGACUGAGAUACGGCCCGGACUCCUCCGGGAGGCAGCGGUGGGGAAUAUUGCACAAUGGGCGGAAGCCUGAUGCAGCAACGCCGCGUGCGGGAUGACGGCCUUCGGUUUGUAAACCGCUUUCGCCUGUGACGAAGCGUUAGUGACGGUAAUGGGUAAAGAAGCACCGGCUAACUACGUG
rnacentral:rRNA from 1 species